CGGUGUUUAACUGGCGUGAUGUGGGACGUCCUACCGGUGGGCUUAGCCUCGCGAGGGGCGGCCCAACUAAUAUCCCGUCGCGGGGCUCUUUACUGAGUGUCGAGUCGGGCCGGUACGUUUACUUUGAACAAAUUAGAGUGCUUAAAGCAGGCUAUCCUCGCCUGAAUACUGCGUGCAUGGAAUAAUGGAAUAGGACCUCGGUUCUAUUUUGUUGGUUUUCGGAACCCCGAGGUAAUGAUUAAUAGGGACAGAUGGGGGCAUUCGUAUUGCGACGUUAGAGGUGAAAUUCUUGGAUCGUCGCAAGACGGACAGAAGCGAAAGCAUUUGCCAAAAAUGUUUUCAUUAAUCAAGAACGAAAGUUAGAGGUUCGAAGGCGAUCAGAUACCGCCCUAGUUCUAACCAUAAACGAUGCCAGCUAGCGAUCCGCCGAAGUUCCUCCGAUGACUCGGCGGGCAGCUUCCGGGAAACCAAAGCUUUUGGGUUCCGGGGGAAGUAUGGUUGCAAAGCUGAAACUUAAAGGAAUUGACGGAAGGGGCACCACCAGGAGUGGAGCCUGCGGCUUAAUUUGACUCAACACGGGAAACCUCACCAGGCCCAGACACCGGAAGGAUUGACAGAUUGAUAGCUCUUUCUUGAUUCGGUGGGGUGGGUGGUGCAUGGCCGUUCUUAGUUGGUGGAGCGAUUUGUCUGGUUAAUUCCGAUAACGAACGAGACUCUAGCCUGCUAAAUAGGCGUACCUUAUGGUAUCGCGAAGGCCCCCGGCUUCGGCCGGUGGGUUUUUACUACCAACGUACAAACAAAUCUUCUUAGAGGGACAGGCGG
rnacentral:rRNA from 1 species